AUGCCUUUGAUUCUUUUAACCUAUGGAAGCAGAUCACAUUUAUCAAAAAGAAAAAACAAAUCUACAAAAGAAAACAAAUCACCUCAGUGGUCCGCUGGGAUGUGACUUCUGAAGCCAACAAACCUCAUGCAAUGCAUUGUCAACACACUUGGCCUGGCUCUCUUUAGAAGCCCAGAAUCAUACUUGGGCAAGAAUCCUGACCAUCACCUGUGCAGUCUGCAAGAACUACUCAGGUUGCUGCAGGAAGCAACAUGGAGCUAUGCCGGUGGCUCUGGCUGCACUGCUCCUGGUAGGGAGACACAGUCAUCUGGUACCUAAGGAUGAGUUUCUUCUCUCCUCAAUGUGAAUGAAGAAGUGAUUUCUCAGCAUCCUGCCCUACCCCCAUGCUCUUAUUUCAUCAUAGACUCUCCCGCUGAAAUCAAAAGACAAAAUACACUCUUCCUUUUACAAGCCAUUUUUAGUCAUGGUGUUUUAUCAUAGUGACAAAAAAUAAAAAUAAAAAAUAAAAACAACAACUAAUACAGUGACCAUCAGCACCAUUGGAGCCAGUUGCUGUUGUGACCCACAGAAUGCCUUAGUCCUGUAGCCGUGGCAAUGAAACAAGUAAAAUUACGAUGUGAACUUUGGGGGGGGAGGGGUGAAAGGUUUUUGGUGUGAUAUAUGGAAGGGGAUGAGAGAGGGAGUUAGGAAUAAAAGUGGCUAAAAUUCACUAUUUAAAUUGUGAAAGUGUCAAGAAAUAAUAAAAAUAUUUCAUGAAAAAAAAGCCAAAAAAAGUAAAAAUAAAUAGAUGAGUAACAAGAGAAUACAGCAAUAGUUAGGUCUACGGUGAUGAUACCAGACUGUUAGCAUCCCCUAUAAAAAUGAAAGUAGAGAGGGUAAUUAAUCUUACCUCAGAUUUCAGCUAUUUCCUUCUUUUUGCCAGAUUCUUUCCCAAAGCUACAAAAGACCUUGAGGGUGCUAUGGUACACUAGGGUGGAAAUUAACUGGUAGAGCCUUUGAGAGUCAUUAUCUUUGCUUACUAGGGUGGUACUUCUGUUUCUGAUGUAGGCGUAUUUGAAUUACUCAGGCUCCUAUAUGUAAUGCCUCAUUCCUAUUUCUGUAUGUAACCCCAAUA